rnacentral:rRNA from 1 species
UACGAAGGGGGCUAGCGUUGUUCGGAAUUACUGGGCGUAAAGGGCGCGCAGGCGGCUCUUCAAGUCAGAUGUGAAAGCCCCGGGCUCAACCUGGGAACUGCAUUUGAGACUGGAGAGCUCGAGUUCGGGAGAGGAGAGCGGAAUUCCCAGUGUAGAGGUGAAAUUCGUAGAUAUUGGGAAGAACACCGGUGGCGAAGGCGGCGACCUGGUC